GACGAACGCUGGCGGCGUGCUUAACACAUGCAAGUCGAACGCGCCUGUCCUCUGGGUUUCUGGGGGGUGGGUGAGUGGCGAACGGGUGAGUAACACGUGAGUAACCUGCCCCCUUCUUCGGGAUAACGGUCUGAAAGGGCUGCUAAUACCGGGUAUUCACUGGUCUCCGCAUGGGGUCUGGUGGAAAGGUUUUUUUCUGGUGGGGGAUGGGCUCGCGGCCUAUCAGCUUGUUGGUGGGGUGAUGGCCCACCAAGGCUUUGACGGGUAGCCGGCCUGGGAGGGUGACCGGUCACAUUGGGACUGAGAUACGGCCCAGACUACUACGGGAGGCAGCAGUGGGGAAUAUUGCACAAUGGGCGCAAGCCUGAUGCAGCGACGCAGCGUGAGGGAUGGAGGCCUUCGGGUUGUGAACCUCUUUCGCCCGUGGUCAAGCCGCGACGUGGGUCGUGGUGAGGGUAGUGGGUAAAGAAGCGCCGGCUAACUACGUG
rnacentral:rRNA from 1 species